rnacentral:rRNA from 1 species
UGCCAGCAUCCGCGGUACUACUGAUUGUCCGAUCGUUAUCCGGAUUCAUUGGGUUUAAAGGGUCCGUAGGCGGAUUUUUAAGUCAGUGGUGAAAGCCGACAGCUCAACUGUCGAACUGCCAUUGAUACUGGAAAUCUUGAGUACAAAUGAAGUAGGCGGAAUGAGUCAUGUAGCGGUGAAAUGCAUAGAUAUGACUCAGAACACCAAUUGCGAAGGCAGCUUACUAACAUGUAACUGACGCUGAGGGACGAAAGCGUGGGGAGCGAACAGGAUUAGAUA